AGCAGUGUGGCUUAGUGGAAAGAGCACGGCUUGGGAGUCGGAAGUCAUGGGUUCUAAUCCCAGCUCUGCCA
rnacentral:tRNA from 1 species